GCCGAGGUGGUGAAAUUGGCAGACACGCAGCGUUCAGAGCGCUGUGGGCGCAAGCCCGUGGAGGUUCAAAUCCUCUCCUCGGCACCA
rnacentral:tRNA from 1 species